rnacentral:rRNA from 1 species
GACGAACGCUGGCGGCGUGCUUAACACAUGCAAGUCGAACGGAAAGGCCCCUUUGGGGGUACUCGAGUGGCGAACGGGUGAGUAACACGCGAGUAACCUGCCCUUGACUUCGGGAUAACUUCAGGAAACUGGGGCUAAUACCGGAUAGGAAUCCUUGCUGCAUGGUGGGGGUUGGAAAGCUUCGGCGGUUUUGGAUGGACUCGCGGCUUAUCAGCUUGUUGGUGGGGUAGUGGCUUACCAAGGCUUUGACGGGUAGCCGGCCUGAGAGGGCGACCGGCCACAGUGGGACUGAGAUACGGCCCAGACUCCUACGGGAGGCAGCAGUGGGGAAUGUUGCACAAUGGGCGGGAGCCUGAUGCAGCAACGCCGCGUGCGGGAUGACGGCCUUCGGGUUGGAAACCGCUUUCAGCAGGGGCGAAGCUUGUGGUGACGGUACCUGCAGAAGAAGCACCGGCUAACUACGUG